UACGUAGGUGGCAAGCGUUGUCCGGAUUUAUUGGGUUUAAAGGGUGCGUAGGCGGCUUUUUAAGUCCGUUGUGAAAGCCCUGGGCUCAACCUGGGAAUGGCAGUGGAUACUGGAAAGCUAGAGUGCGGUAGAGGGUAGUGGAAUUCCCGGUGUAGCAGUGAAAUGCGUAGAGAUCGGGAGGAACACCAGUGGCGAAGGCGGCUACCUGGACCAGCACUGACACUGAGGCACGAAAGCGUGGGGGGCAAACAGG
rnacentral:rRNA from 1 species